rnacentral:lncRNA from 1 species
AAUAACUGGCAAUAUCAUUCGCUUAUUUCUUUGCAGGGAAAUACAGGCGCAAAGCAGAUAAAUGUUUGAUACCGCCAAUACAAGAGAAGCCCUGCGGCAAUCAAAGUGUGGCUGCCACUAGGUGGCGUUUCAACGAAAACAAAAGUAAAUGCAUAGAACACAUUUUUCAAGGUUGUCGAAAAGACCCAGAUGGAUUUGUAACUUGUAAUGAAUGUGUGGAAAUUUGCCAGCACCACAUGAAAACCAUGCAAGCUUGCCCAGAGGCAGGAGAUCCAAAAUAGGGCCUUGUACUGCUUCAAAGUGCAAUAAAUGCAUCAGCAAAUUGCCAAUAAAGUUCAUGAAGGCCA